rnacentral:rRNA from 1 species
UGCCAGACUCCUACGGGAGGCAGCAGUGAGGAAUAUUGGUCAAUGGGCUUACGCCUGAACCAGCCAAGUCGCGUGAGGGAAGACUGCCCUAUGGGUUGUAAACCUCUUUUGUCAGGGAGCAAAAGACGCCACGCGUGGCGUUCCGAGAGUACCCGAAGAAAAAGCAUCGGCUAACUCCGUGCCAGCAGCCGCGGUAAUACGGAGGAUGCGAGCGUUAUCCGGAUUUAUUGGGUUUAAAGGGUGCGCAGGCGGAGGAUCAAGUCAGCGUUAAAAUGGAGGGGCUCAACCUCUGCGAGCCGUUGAAACUGGUUUUCUUGAGUGAGUGAGAAGUAUGCGGAAUGCGUGGUGUAGCGGUGAAAUGCAUAGAUAUCACGCAGAACUCCGAUUGCGAAGGCAGCAUACCGGCGCUCAACUGACGCUCAUGCACGAAAGUGUGGGUAUCGAACAGGAUUAGAUACCCCGGUAA